rnacentral:lncRNA from 1 species
CAUAUUCGGAAAUGGAUAAUUUGGAUAGUAUCGGAUAUCCGAAUAUAAGUUUUUCGGAUAUUUUUCCGAUAUUUUCAGACAUUUUUCAGAUAUUUCAGAUAUUUUCGGAUACUUCGGAUAUCUUCGGAUAUCCGAAAAAAAUGAAAAUUAAAUUUUUGGAUAUUUCGGAUAUCCGAAAUAUUCGAAAAUUUUGAAAAUCACUGUCCGAAUCCAAAAAAUUCGGAUAUCCGAUUUUUCAGAUAUUUCAGAUUGGAUAGCUUUGAACACCCCUAGUGGAAAUGUUCAUGAAAAAGGUGGUUGAAGAAGGAAUUGAAAUACUUGCCAAUGACAAUGUAAGUACUAUUUUUUAAAUGAUUACUUUUGGAGUAUUAUUAGUUUGUUAGCUAAUUAGUUGCAAAACUUUUAUUAGAUCAUUGAUUUUGGUUCAUAAUUUUGGGGAUUUUGAUGAGAUUUGUGUGUUUGAUUUGCAUAUAAAAGAAUCUGGGUAAAAAGAUAACUAAAUAAUCGGAUGGAAUGAGAAUAUAAUUGUGUAGAUAUCAUCUUUAAUUAUCAUAUCAAAGUGCAUGUAUUUAGGUUCUAUAAUUUUGUUUAUAUAUUUCAUUAAUUGUUUUCAUAUCAAAGAGUAUGUAUUUAGGUUCUUUGAUUUUUUUCUCAGGUUGGGGGAGGCAAAGUGGUAUACAUGGAUGAGGAUAUUGAUGGAAUACGUGAAGGGUGUUCGGGUUAUGGGGCAACGUUUGUUUUUAAGUGACUAUUUAAGAUGUCCAAGUAUGUACACCAAACAAUAUUUUUUGUUACCUUAACAUAUUUGAAUUGUAUUUGACAUAUGACUAUGAAAUGAAUUGUUUUGGUAUAUGUGUAUUUUGUUAUGAAAUUGAUUUAUAUAUUGUUUUGGUUUUAUAAAGAAAAUUGGAAAUUCUAAAAAAAAUUAAACAAUGAAAACCAUGACACGCAAUGUGUGUCAUUAAAAUGUGUCAUAAACGCCUGUCAUUAAGACGUGUCAUUAAAAUGUGUCAUUAAAGCGUGUCAUAAAGUUGUGUCAUUAAAGUGUGUCAUUAAGGUGUGUCAUAGAAGAAUGACACACAAGUGCAUGUCAUCUUUAAUUAAUGACAGGGGCUUCCUUGACACUCUUUUGUGUGUCAUAUCUACACUUUAAUGACGCGCAAUGCGUGUCAUUGAAGGUUUAUUUUCUAGUAGUGGGAGGUAAGGAUCGACCAUCAGCUAACCGAUGAUGUUAGAAUGGGCUACUACAAAUUGUGCUUUUAUAAGAAAGAAUUUCUUCUUCCGGAAGACGU